AGGCUAAAGAAGCCUCAGAAUGCCAUACAGAAGUAGUGCUUCUAUAGUGUUAAUACAAAAGCCUUACUUAGAAGAUAGAAGGAAAAAAAGAACACGCUGGAUGUUAGGAAUAUUUUGUGGCACCUAAAGGGGGACAAAGAAAGACAUUCAAGACAUCUAAUGUACACAUUGGGGAUAAAUCAUUCUACUGUAUUGUACAGUAAAAUGUUACCUUUCCAGAUGGGUGGUUUUAAUUUCAAAUUAAAAACAGGUAUUAAAGAACAAAUUAAAAUUAAAGAUUAAAAAAAAAAAUUGGGUAUUAUUCUCCAUAUUUGAGAAAUGGUCUCCAUAUCUGAAUUCAAUACUGGUUGAGUUUCUGUUCAACAGGUAAAGCUAGUGCCAAACAAUAAGGAUAAAAAAUAUAGAAGAAGUAAUCCCUUGAUCAGCAUUUAUUUAAAAACAAUAAAGUGAAUACUGCAACAUUAAAGAAUAAAGAAAAGACUAAGAUGUGUUUACCAUCCUUAAUCAUAAAAAGUAUACCAUCCCUUCAACGUCAAACUCAGCAAAAAAUGUGAAUGCAUGAAACUGAACUGACUGGAUGCUUUGUCUCUUGCAAUAACAAGUGACAGACUGCAAACUAACACUGCAUGGAAUGCUUAUUGGUCGACCAAUGCCAAUACCAAUGUCUGCGCAAUACUAUAUAACAAAAAUUCAUCCCCAAAAAGGACUUCCUCUGGAACGACUGCAGAUGGAGCUUUUGGAACAAUUACAAAUAAAGAUGAGAUCUUAUGUGAUAAAACUAAUUGUAUGCAUAAGCUAUUUGUGCGCAGGGAAAAAGAAAAGGAGCCUGAUGAGGAGAUGGAGAUAAAAUGCCAUAUUAUGCCAUGGGAUCUAGUGUAUCUGAGGGUCUUCAGGAGAGAGUGACAUAAAACAAGGACCAAGGAGAGCAGCUCUAACAGCAGGCCAAGGGGGAAGGAGCACAUCUGAUGUCAUCUGAGCCAUUGCAAAAAGUUCCUAAAAUACCAGUCGAAGAAGAGGACAACAAAAACACGAUACAGAAGAGGAGAGCUGAGGAGCAGAGGAGAACUUAAACACAAUAAUGAAGAAGAGAGCUGAGGAAAAGAAAAUAAUAAAAGACAUGAUACAGAAGACAACAACAGAAAAAUUAAAAGCAAUUCAAGCCUACAAAGAGAUAAAAGAACGAAGUAAUGACCACCCAGGGCAUAUCAAGCAACAACAACAAAGUUAAGAAAAAUUUGUAAAUGAGAAGAGACUUUCAGGAGCAACAACCAAUGAGUGCAAAGCAGUGGAGUUCACAAGCAAUACACAGAGACAAAGUUGCUGCAAGGAUCAGUAACACUUUAGCGAGGACCAGUAACACCAGUGAGAAUUUAUUCUACAAUAAUCUCUGCAGAACCAAAGUUUAGAUAAAAUACUGAAGAUACCAAAACAAAAAGGAGACAAGGACAUCAACAGAAGAAAAAGGACGUCAACGGAAGGAAAAAAAAUAUGUUGGACAUUUUAUGGGAAACAAAAAAAAAACAUUAUGAAUGAAUGGUACAAAUGGGUAACUUUCAAAGCUAAGAGAAAUUGGUAUGAACAAUUGCUUAUUAUGCUCUAAAUCAUAAAAGGUAGGAAUAGUCAAAAGUCGACAUGAUAUUACAGGGGGGUUCGAUGUAACAAAUUGACAAAUUCUGGUUUAAAUAUCCAUUUUAUAGGGCAUAUUUUGGUAAAUAGUUAAUAUUGGGAAAGUUAAUAAAAGCAUUAAAAGGCAGAAUAGAAAUUCAAGAAAAACAAAUACUAAGGAAUAUUAAAGCUACAGUAGACCUUAUGGAACUAAAGAUGAGGGAUAUUUAAAGGGAAUAUUCUAUAACAUAGAACUUGAACAAAUCAAAUAUAAAAUUCCAAAAGCUAUUAUAAAUCCUUAAUAAUUUUGGCUUUAGGUAUGGAAAGGGUGGACAAUGCUGGUAUACAGUAAAAAGAAUGUGGGAAUCAGAUCAUAGCAGUGGACAUAUGAAGAUCAAACAGUAAUGUAAGCAGAAUUCUUUUGGUUUAAUUUUGAUUUGAUGGGAAAUGAUAACUUAUGGUGGUUUUGCAAUUAGAGAAGAAAUAUAUAUGUACAAGACUAAGGUUAAUUUAAGAAAUCAUCAUGAUUAUAUUGAAGUAUAUUGAACAAAAUACUGAGAAAACAAAUGAUAAAACUAAAAUAGUUUAUCCCUAAAUUGGUUUGGUAUUACCUGUUACAAUUUAAGCAAGAGAUGAGAUAAAAUCAUGGUUAGAAUAAAUAUUGAUUUAAUCUAGAAUUACUAAAUUAUAUCUACUAUAAUCAACAAAGGUUUAUUAAAUUUAACUAAUGAUGUUUUAACAAUUUUAGAAAAACAAUGAGAUACUACAAAGGGGUAUAGUUUUAUUGUAUGGAGAUUAAUGUUAUGCUAAAAAUACAACAUAGAUAUUCAUUGAAGCUAUCAAUAAGCUUAAGAGUUUAGGAUAAAAACUGCAACAAAUACAAGAAGAAAGAAUCUUAAUGUGGAAUUGGUGUGAUUUAAAAUUAGGAAAAUGGGUGAUUGUUUUGUCAAAUUCUCACAGACAUAUUUUUGUAUGUCAAAUGAUUAAAGGUAUAGGUUAAAGGAUGAAUAUUAUCAAAAGGUAAAGGAUGCAAAUUAUCAGAGGAUAAGGAUUUGUGAUUUUAAUUGGAUGGAUUGUUAUUUUAUUGUGUACUCCCUAUUUUGAAACAAAUGUUAAUGGAAAAUCAAGAUGAAAAGUUACUUCAUAUAGGAAAUUACAAAGUGCAUCAAAAUGGGUUUUGCAAAAGUUAGAAAAUGGUAAUAUUACAUCAGAAAAAGAUAAUGAAAAUAAUAAGUAUUGAAAAGGUAUUUGACUAAUUUCCACUCUUAUGAUGAAUAUGGAUGUUUUUAUGAGUUCUGAUUUUACAGCAACAAUGACAUAAUGAAGUAUAUUCCAUGAUCAUAAAGGUUUAUUAAUUGAAGGAGUAGGUUCUCUUACUUCUCCAAGAGAAAAUGUUUGUUCCACACUCCACCAAAGUGCGGCAGCAUGAUUUAAUCAUUGGUAAGGGAAAGAUGGCUUAAUUGGGCCAUUAAUUAGCUUAACUUAAUUGAACUGGAUUGUGAAGUUGCACUUUGGGUGAGACUUGUGAAAGUCUCAAAGGGUGGAAUGAAGAAGAUUUUUUUAAUUCAGAACUAUAUCUUUGGUGAACAUGGUAUUCAGAUUCAAAUGUGUUUUGCAAGUAAACAUGUCUCAUGCUUGUAAGCUGAAGACUAGCAGUCUUAAAGACUGCAAUGUAUGCAGGGUUUAAAAUAUGGUAACUGAGAGCAUACUGGAGCUAAAAAUGCAUAGGCUGACAUUUGGAAGGAAUGAAGUCACAACACCUGUCAAACAUAAAAACAUGCUAAAAACAACUACAUGGGAGGGGUUUCAACUUUUAGAGAACUGUAUAUUAGGUUGCAUUCUGAAAAAGACUCUUUAGUUGCUUGGCCACCAACUCGGCCUUAUUGUUGUAUGCAAUAAAGUCAUCUUUUGGCAAUGGAA